rnacentral:lncRNA from 1 species
GCAAGAUCUGUGUGUGACUCCUAAGAAGGGAGCUUUUUCUGGCUGGUAUUUUUCUUUUUUUUUAGAAUUCUGUUUUCUGACUAAGGUAGUGUUCAACAGCAGGAAGGAGUUAAACGAUACCCAAACAACUCAGGAGCUGUCUGUCAAUCAGGGCUAAUCUUGAGGCAGCAGCAUUAAGAGGCUUCAGAAAGAAGGAAGUCCUUCUGGCAUUUAUUUUGUUUCUUUGUAUUUAUCAAUUGAGAAUGGCUGGGCCUGAAUUAAUAUAUACAAAUUGGUUAAUUGUGUGGUAAAGUCAAAACCUGUACAAAAUAAGGCAAAUAUAUUUCAGAAGGUCCAGCUUCUGCAUCUUCAACAUGAGAUCUCAAACUCUGUGGCUCCACAACAGGACAGGGCGGUAGUCUGUGAAUGGAAUUUGAUACAUAGCUAAAUAGUCCUGAAAAUAAUUUUUUAAAUUGCAGAUAAGGGAAAGGAGGCUCUUUUUUAAGAUAACUGGUACUAUUGUCAUGCUUAAGGUCCUUAGCCACACGGGAAAAGUUCUGGUUAGAGUAGAUGUAGCAGGAAUCUGUUCUCAAAAUAGAAACUGGCUACAGAAUGGCAAAAUUAUUUGAUAGUGAUGCUCAGUUUCUACUCAAUCAUAAGCAAGGUUUUGCAUGUGCUCUUUAUGCUAUGCAAGGCUGGAUUUUAUUUUGUCAUUUUUGCCUUGUCUUGUGGUAUGAAAUAGCUUCUCAUACCAUAAUUUGAGUGUCCUAAGUCUGCCACAUUUAUAAUUUGUUGCAAUACAUAAUUAUUUUGAAUAAGAAAUUGGUAAUAUUACUGUCUUUGUUCAAUUUACAGACUCACAAGUCAGCCUUUACUGGAAGAGUAAAAUGACUCAGUUUGGGCUUGGGAGCCAGAGAGCUAAAUAUAGUACACAGCAUCAGAGCUUGGUACAGCUGGGGGGAAAAUAUCCAUUUGGGAACUUAUAAAAGGUCAGUUUGGAACAGAGGUGCCUGGGGUGCAGAAAUACUUGCCCUGAUAACUAACUUCACAUUUGAGAAGUGGCACAGCAGAGCUGCUGAGGACAGAAGAAGGCAUAGGAAGACUGGAUGGAGCAGUCCUACCUGUGAGCUCUCACCUCUGAAUGACUCCAGCUCUAGAAAAUUCAGGGUUCCCUCUGACCUUGCUACAGCAGGAAUCCAGCACUCCAGGUAUUGCAUGUAUCUAAUCCAAGUACCGGUUGCUUAUAUGUGGUUUGCAAUGUGCGUUUGUGUGUACUUCAAACAUGCUCUUUGUGGGCAACCUCUAGGGAAAAACAUCAUUUGUAUCUUCAAGGAAGUUUACACAGCGAUACUGAAGAAAUCCAUGGGGAUUGUUUGCUCUCAAAGGUUUCUCAAUAAAUAAAUAAUCAAGAGGCUGGAGGACAGCCUGAAUGAAGCAGUCAGGGUCAGAACGCUAUAGACAUACAUGAAGGGGUCUGAGCUCUACUGUAAAAAAAUUCAUAGUUUAAAAAGAUUAAAAUUAAAAUACUGUAAUAAAUAUUUUUAUAAGUUUAAAAAAAUAUAAAGU